UACGUAGGCGGAAGAUUAAGUCAGUGGUGAAAUCCUGCAGCUUAACUGUAGAACUGUCAUUGAUACUGCUUUUCUUGAAUUUAGUUGAGGUAGGCGGAAUGUGUAAUGUAGCGGUGAAAUGCUUAGAUAUUACACAGAACACCGAUUGCGAAGGCAGCUUACUAAACUAUGAUUGACGCUGAGGUACGAAAGCGUGGGGAGCGAACAGGAUUAGAUACCCGAGUAGUCC
rnacentral:rRNA from 1 species